rnacentral:rRNA from 4 species
UAGUGGCGAACGGGUGAGUAACACGUGGGCAAUCUGCCCUUCACUCUGGGACAAGCCCUGGAAACGGGGUCUAAUACCGGAUAUCACUUCUGCAGGCAUCUGUGGGAGUUGAAAGCUCCGGCGGUGAAGGAUGAGCCCGCGGCCUAUCAGCUUGUUGGUGAGGUAAUGGCUCACCAAGGCGACGACGGGUAGCCGGCCUGAGAGGGCGACCGGCCACACUGGGACUGAGACACGGCCCAGACUCCUACGGGAGGCAGCAGUGGGGAAUAUUGCACAAUGGGCGAAAGCCUGAUGCAGCGACGCCGCGUGAGGGAUGACGGCCUUCGGGUUGUAAACCUCUUUCAGCAGGGAAGAAGCGAAAGUGACGGUACCUGCAGAAGAAGCGCCGGCUAACUACGUGCCAGCAGCCGCGGUAAUACGUAGGGCGCAAGCGUUGUCCGGAAUUAUUGGGCGUAAAGAGCUCGUAGGCGGCUUGUCACGUCGGGUGUGAAAGCCCGGGGCUUAACCCCGGGUCUGCAUUCGAUACGGGCUAGCUAGAGUGUGGUAGGGGAGAUCGGAAUUCCU